GAUGAAGAACGUAGCGAAAUGCGAUAAGUAAUGUGAAUUGCAGAAUUCAGUGAAUCAUCGAAUCUUUGAACGCACCUUGCGCCCUUUGGCUAUUCUGAAGGGCAUGCCUGUUUGAGUAUCGUGAACACCUCAACUCUCAUGGUCUGCCAUGAUGAGCUUGGACUUUGGGGGUCUUGCUGGCCUACUGUCAGCUCCUCUCAAAUGAAUCAGCUUACCAGUGUUUGGUGGCACCACAGGUGUGAUAACUAUCUACGCUUGUGGUUUUCUGCCAGGUAACCUCCAGUGAUGGAGGUUCGCUGGAGCUCACAAAUGUCUCUCCUCGGCGAGGACAGCUUUUUGAACGUUUGAUCUCAAAUCAGGUAGGACUACCCGCUGAACUUAAGCAUAUCAAUAAGCGGAGGA
rnacentral:misc_RNA from 1 species